GUGAAUGUAGGCCAGUUCUGUUUGUUGCCAUGAGCUGUCCUGUGUGUUCGAAAAUGCCCCAAAUUGAACUGGUGUUGGCGCAUUCCUGUAGAAUAAGCAUCGUUGUGUUUGCUUUGACGCAAGCAUUAGUGUUGAACAGUUUUAUGGUGAAAACAGACGUAUACUCGAAAGCUUGGCCUUUGUUAGUUACUUUGCUGCAGUUUCCUACGGAUACUUGUGAUUGCACUAGGGGAUCGCUGCUUGUUAUGAAUGUUUUCAGUUCAUCUUAACAUUUCGUCCAAUCUGUGUCACAAUCCUUCACGGCGAUCAUGUCCCAGAUGAUAUUUCCACUGCCAUGAUUUGUUUUCAGGAUACCACCAAAUAUGGUGUUGCGUCAGGGAAAUUUUCUACUAUAUCCGGGUUGGUGUUAAUUGUUUGAAAAAUACAUUGCUGAUUUUUCUUCGUGUUUCCUCUGCAGCACAUUGUUCCAAUUUUCACGAUUGGUCGAUUCCUAAGUUGAUUCUUCAGAACCGGUUGCAGCGAAUAUGCGAUCUCCUUCCGUCUCCGUGAUGCAGAUGAAGCUAUUUUGUAUAUGUAUCGUCUGGUCGACGAUAUAUUCGAAUUCCGACCUUGAUGGUAGAGGAUCAUCUUUUCAUUGUUGGUUAUGGGCUAUUA